rnacentral:lncRNA from 1 species
CUUCAGCUGUGACACAAGAUUAAAGAACUAAAGAUUGCAACAAGUCUGGUCUUAUUCUGUUCACAGUACUGGGAUAUUUAAGCAACUUCAGUUCGUGUUUUAAACAAUUAGAAAAUUCACAGCUCAUCCAGACUGAAGUUUCUGAAUUCUGUAAUAAAGGCACAUAUCUCAGUGCAAGUCACCACUCCAACUUCCUGAAAGCACAAAGAGACCUUCCCUCCUCCAGCAAAUAUUGCCAUACUUCUGUGCCCUC